rnacentral:lncRNA from 10 species
AAACCAGUGACUGAAGUUACUCAGGGAGAGGCCGGACGAGGUGGUUCAUGCCUGUAAUCCCAGCACUUUUGGAGGCCGAGGCAGGAGAAUUGUUUGAGGCCAGGAGUUCAAGACCAGCCUGGACAACAUAAAGCAGUGAUCCAUGUUUUCAUUGGACUGUGAAAGAGCUACUUCUACUCUAAGGCCACAUUGCCUACAUGAAAUAAAUUAUUGUUAGGAAAUUGCCUUGAAAAGAGAAACAAGACCACAACUCUUAGAAGAAUUCUUCCACAACUUGGUUUGGGACUUCAGCCAGCACGCUCUUUGCCAGGGCAGCUGGAGAUGCCUGCAGGGAAGAAGAAAUCAUCAUGACGUUGGCUUCUGGUCAAGGAAUCAGACUCAUCCUAAAAGAUUUGAGUCCUGCUCUGGGCAGCUAAGUUUCAUUCACUUUCAUUCAUUCGUUAUUUGUCAAGGGUCUACUUCAAGCAAUAGUUGUCAGAUUGUUGGAAAAUGGACCUUUAAUUUCAUUAUUAUAUAUUUUUAUGCCUGUCUCAAACUAUAAAACUAUUUACAUCUGAAGACGAGUAAAAGUUGGAUGGGAG